GAUGAACGCUGAUAGAAUGCUUAACACAUGCAAGUCUACUUGAACUUCGGUUUGGGUGGCGGACGGGUGAGUAACGCGUAAAGAACUUGCCUCACAGUUAGGGACAACAUUUGGAAACGAAUGCUAAUACCUGAUAUUAUGAUUUUAGGGCAUCCUAGGAUUAUGAAAGCUAUAUGUGCUGUGAGAGAGCUUUGCGUCCCAUUAGCUAGUUGGAGAGGUAACGGCUCACCAAGGCGAUGAUGGGUAGCCGGCCUGAGAGGGUGAACGGCCACAAGGGGACUGAGACACGGCCCUUACUCCUACGGGAGGCAGCAGUGGGGAAUAUUGGACAAUGGACCAAAAGUCUGAUCCAGCAAUUCUGUGUGCACGAUGACGUUUUUCGGAAUGUAAAGUGCUUUCAGUUGGGAAGAAAAAAAUGACGGUACCAACAGAAGAAGAGACGGCUAAAUACGUG
rnacentral:rRNA from 1 species